UUCGCUCCGUUCUCCGCGGUAGACUGUAGCUAAACGGGAUAAAACUUGAGAAAGAUAUACAAAAGAUUUUUGUCAGACGUAAAUAUAGAUAUUCCAAGGACCACAAAACGAUACCGGAAUACCCAUAAUGAAGCACAGCGUGCGCCAGUUUAUUUAGAUGAAAGGGAUUGGGAUCGAGACCCGGUUCCAGGUGAAGGCGGACGGAAUUUCCAGCAAUAUCCAAAGGCCAUGCAAUAGAAAUAUGGAUUACAUGGACAAAAUAUUGGCACGACAGCGGCGCCGUCGCGGUGGAAUUCGAUCAGUAUGGCAUCAGUGAAGAUAAAAGAUGCCUCAAGCAUGCUGAUGGAGGCACAAACUCUUCAAAUGAGAGUGCAGGCAAAGAUGUAAAGGGUGAUUAUCAACUGGGGAAGCCAGCAGACCACACAGGAAUAGAUCAACACCAUGAAUGAAUGAAUUGUUGUUGUUCACAUAGAACAAAUGAGUUGCAUUGUUCUCCUUGUAAAAUCCAUGACAUGUGCUGCAGGUUGCUGUGGGGGACAAUAACACUAUUUCCUACAAUGAUGAGAAUACAGACUCAUCUGAUGAUGAAGCCUCAGAUGAAGAUCUAAUGGCUGAACACCUGUCAAGUGGGCCAUCGGAUGAGGGGAGGAUCCACUGCAUGAAAUGCAUGUUGAGGGAGGCACAAACGCUUCAGAUGAGAGUGCUGAUGAAGAUGUAAUGCACGAAGAACAGACUAACUCAGUUCCAUCUGACAACGAUACUCCAGAAGAUCCAACGGAGCAUGUUUUAGACCCAAACUUCAAUGAUGAAAAGAAGAUUUAUGCUGGUUCUUCAGUUACAAUGGGGGCUCUCCUCCUUCUUCUCUUGGCAUUCAUCCUGAAGCAUGGCCUGUCAAAAGCAGCGACCAAAGACCUCCUAGAGCUCCUAAACUUUGUGGUGCCUGGAUGUGUGCCAAAGUCAUUUUGGUUUUUAAAGCAACACUUUCUUGAUUACAAUGACAAGACAGAA